GCCUGGUAUGCUGCUUUCACCUUCUCACAUGGCUUCUGCCCCACCUCUGAUAUGAUUUACUCCUUUCUCAUUUCAGAGUUUUUUGCUUCUUUCCUUCCACCAGCUUUUUUUCUGAUUGUGGCUUCUUGCUUUUAUUUUCCCUGGUGCAGUAUUGGCCCAUACUCAAAGUAGCAAGGCCAGUAGUAAUCUAUGAGUUUCUGUCUGUGCCUGCAAGCUUUAAUGCUUUCUGUGGCAGUGAACGGGACUAUAUGGUCCAUAACAGUUGAAAAAUAUCCUGAUAAUAAACUGGCAUGUUCCAACUUUAAUAGGAUAAAAAUAAAUAAUGCACUGCACUAGUAACAGAUCUGUAGUCAUUCAGGUUUAAAAUAACUAGAUAUAAUGUAGUAUUGUCCAUGGUGCUCAUGCUUUACACCUUUUUCAGCAUUGACAACAGUGAUGCGGUAUGGGCUGCCUAAUGUGGCAGGGAAAGCAUGGUUAGCCCAGACACCCUCCGGCUCUUCUGUGAAACCACUGUUUGCUAAACAGCCACCAACAGUCUGUGAAAAAAAAUAGCAUCUUGCUCGAUACAAAGGCUCUUUGCCCUGUAUUGUUUGGGACUGCUGUUUUAGAGCUACAUUGCUAAUUUUUAACCUCAAACAUGACAAACACCAUGAGGUUGAAAAAGUAGCAACACUUUAUCCUGUAUAAGUGCAAUGCAUAUAUAUCCUGCCAUACUGUUCAGCUGCUGGAAUUACCAACAUUUGUUUAUUCAUUCCUCUUAGUAAAAACAAGGAUGUCUGCUGGCUUGGUGCAGCGGCUUCGGAGAAGCUGGUGGGGGAAGGCAAAAAGGAAAUCAUGGUAUAUAGCAGGAACUGUCCAUCUGUGUGAGAGCUGCAGUCAGAGGGAUGGUGUGUGACUGACAGUGGGUCAUCUGAGCAUUUCUACACUGUGGAAGCGCGUUGUCUGCCUACAGCAGACUUUCACCAGUGGAGAGGAAAAUACUUCUAUAUGGAAGAAACUAGAACAUGUGGAGAAGACAAUGAACUUCUAACUUCCUGGAUCAUACGAAAACACGUAAAAGAAUACAUUUAUACCAGAUGCAUCUCCUUCAUCAGAAUCUCAUUAAUUUUUACUAAAAAUUCCAUAAUACAGGAAGCUGCUGCCAAAAGCUAUCGGCAAACAAAAUACCGCAAUGCUCUGAACGGUUUCUCAAGUGAUGGCUCUGAGCUUUUUCCAAUCUUGAGUGCAGAAUGCGAAGAAACUUAAAAGACUUUUAAACGGUUUGUAGUUUUUUCAUUUAUUGUAGAAAAGUUAUUGUAAUGCAGUUCAUUUUUGUACAUCUAAAUUCCAUAAAACAAAUCCAUAGAAAUGAGGAUACUAUCAGCAUGCAGUCUGCAUUGUCCUUUUUAAAUGAUUCUGAUCACAAAAAUAACACCACUUUUUUUUCUUUCUUUGAAAGCCACUAAAAGCAGAGGGAGAGCAGAGCAUGCAACACUGUACACAUUUGCAUAGUAUAUUUUACCCAGCAUGCCUUGUAGAAUGCUACACAUACAGUAUCUAUAGAAGGAAAACCAGAAAGGGGCAAAUCAGCAGAAAACACACAUUUGUGGGUAUUUCUUUAG